GUAGUAUCUGUUCUUAUCAGUUUAAUAUCUGAUACGUCCUCUAUCCGAGGACAAUAUAUUAAAUGGAUUUUUGGAGCUCGGAGUUGGAAUAGGAGCUUGCUCCGUCCACUCCACGCAUCGAUCUGGUAUUGCAGUACCUCCAGGAACGGUGC
rnacentral:snRNA from 1 species